AAUGGUGCAAUUAAAAUUCAUAAAAUAAGAAUUCAUUACAUUUGACAGAAAUAUAUAUUCUCCUGCAAUAAAGAUAGAACAAGUGUGUUCAAUCCACCCAAAGUCACAAAGUCUGAUUCAAAGUACUUGAAUGAGGCUAUUGAAUCCAAGGGUUUAAACAUGACAUUAGGCAAAAGGACUUAAAAUUUAUCAUUAUUAGAGUCACAAGGAUUUUAACCAGAAUCUAAUAUCACUGUUGGUGAUUCAAAGUAAAAUUUUAAAGAAAAUAGUAGUGGAUCAAAU
rnacentral:misc_RNA from 1 species